UAGUCCACGCCGUAAACGUUGGACACUAGGUGCUGCGGGUAUUGACCCCUGCGGUGCCGUAGCUAACGCGUUAAGUGUCCCGCCUGGGGAGUACGGCCGCAAGGUUAAAACUCAAAUGAAAUUGACGGGGGCCCGCACAAGCGGUGGAGCAUGUGGUUUAAUUCGAUGCAACGCGAAGAACCUUACCAGGUCUUGACAUCCAGAGAACUUUCCAGAGAUGGAUUGGUGCCUUCGGGAGCUCUGUGACAGGUGCUGCAUGGCUGUCGUCAGCUCGUGUCGUGAGAUGUUGGGUUAAGUCCCGUAACGAGCGCAACCCUUGUCCUUAGUUGCCUAGCGCGUAAUGGCGGGAACUCUAAGGNGACUGCCGGUGACAAACCGGNGGAAGGUGGGGACGACGUCAAGUCAUCAUGGCCCUUACGACCUGGGCUACACACGUGCUACAAUGGAACGCACAGAGGGCAGGCAAACCCGCGAGGGGGAGCGGAAUCCCACAAAACGUUUCGUAGUCCGGAUUCGGAGU
rnacentral:rRNA from 1 species